rnacentral:rRNA from 1 species
AACGAACGCUGGCGGCGCGCCUAAUACAUGCAAGUCGAGCGAGAAGACGUAGCAAUACGUUUGUAAAGCGGCGAACGGGUGAGGAAUACAUGGGUAACCUACCCUCGAGUGGGGAAUAACUAGCCGAAAGGUUAGCUAAUACCGCGUACGCUCCUUGGACUUCGGUUCAGGGAGGAAAGCGAUACCGUGGGUAUCGCGCUCUUGGAUGGGCUCAUGUCCUAUCAGCUUGUUGGGAGGUAACGGCUCACCAAGGCUUCGACGGGUAGCUGGUCUGAGAGGACGAUCAGCCACACUGGCACUGCGACACGGGCCAGACUCCUACGGGAGGCAGCAGUAAGGAAUAUUGCGCAAUGGGCGAAAGCCUGACGCAGCGACGCCGCGUGGGGGAGUGAAGGGUCUUCGGAUU